rnacentral:lncRNA from 15 species
CUCUCUCUCUCUGUCUAUGUAGUGCGGUCCUGGGCAAGGGGGCGGGAGCGGCGCAGUCUCCCGAUGUGUCGAGGCUUGUGGAGGCUGUCCUGCUGGACCUCAGCAUCCUCCACUGCAGCGAGGGCAGGAAGAUUGCCGGGGUCUGGAUUCCUCGCUGGGGUGCCGUCAUGAGGGACUAUCUAACAAUUCGCGAGAAUGUUUAUAGUUGUGCAGCCCUCAUGACGAGCACCCGCAUCCAGCUAUAUGAUGUCAAUCGGCGGACCCUGACGCAAUGGCACAACCAGAGGAGCAAGGCCAUGAUGAGGGACACCAUCGCCAUUGCAGUCCUGGGGCCCAGCACUCCCCAGACUGCAGCGGAGCCCCUGCCUGCCCCACCGACUGUGCUGCAGCAGCCUGAGCAGCCAGACCAGCCCCUCCAGCACCGCCUGCCCACGGACGCUUCUGGUCCUGGACCUCAUCGUCGCCAGCUCCUCCACUGCCUCCUCCUCCUCCUCAUCAGCCACCCCACAAGCCUCCAGCGCGGACGCCGUCCUGUCCACCAGCGUCAGCGCGGAGGCCGGUGACAUCCCCUCCACAGCCACAGCUGCCACUGCUCCACCAGUGCCAAGGAACACCGCCUGGAGGCGCAAGCUCCAGGAGGAGAAAGAGCGUUGUGCCGGGAGCUGGGAGAACACUUAAAACCAGCAAAGAAGGUCUCCCACUUUAACUGCAGGCGCAGUGGCCAACCGAAGACGCGGGCGUUUGACCACAGCCGCUACAAGAAGGAGACCUUCUGCUCCCGGGCCGAGGGGAAAGGGAGAACUGUGGAGCAGUGGCUGGCAGAGGUGAAGGGGCGUGAUGGAGCAGCCCCCCCUGCCUGAGCGAACACUUCACUUUGUGUGUGUGUGUGUGUGUGAGUGAGUGAUGGGGCGGCUCCCCCUCUCUGAACGAACGCUUUGUGUGUGUGUGUGUGUGUGUGUGUGUGUGUGUGUGUGUGUGUUUGGGAGGGAGGGAUUUGUAAAUAUUGUGUAUAUAGUGUAUUUAGUUUGUCAAUUAUGUUUGCUAAAUAAAUAUUGUGUAUAUAGUUGUCUUAUAUAAGAUAUUCCUUUAUUUGUCCCACAAUGGGGAAAUUCCAAUAUAUAUCUAUAUAGUUGUAUAUUGCUGUCUUAAUUGUUUUUGUUUAAAUAAACUUUUCUUUUUUAACCAAUGCUUUCUCCUGCUUCUUUCGGUCUUUAAGAAAUUAAAUAAAUAUAGGGAAGACUAGGUAUCUAGACUAGGUGCCUGAUAUCACUAAAUUCCCACAGGUAACAGUCACACAAUACAUCAUUCCCUCUCCUCACUUAAAACUAGGGUCAAGGGGUCAACCCAGGGUCAGGUUCAAAGGUUUACCUAGAGACUAGGUGAGAAUGGGCCUCAAAUGGACACUGUAAAACAACAGGGGGUGCUGAGGGUUUAGUUGGACAGAAUGGAAGGCAGAAAAGCAACGCGGAAAACCAAACACGUCACUUCAUUAGGUUUGUUAGAAAUAUACUUUGUUAAACUGCAUCUGUGUUUCUAUGUACCUUGACUAACAGAGUUCUGUAUUGUAUUUGUAUUUAAGUGGACUACGACUGCACAUCCUCCUCCUCCUCCUCCAGCUCCUCUCCUUGACGGCUUCAGGCAGCAGAGCCAGUGGCGGGGACCAGCAAGCCCACCCGUUGCACUGUGUACAGGCGCAAAAUUAAAGCAGCAAAAGACAAAAAAGUCCUCCAAAGUACCAGGGGAAAGCCACAGCACAAACCUGGUGACCCCUGCAACAUCCGUGGCCAAGCAUGCACGGUGGAUGGUGGCCACACUUACCUCAAGGGCCAAUACUUUUGUGCUGUGGAAGAGGGCCCUGGAGGACGCACAGUGCAAGAGUAGAUCAGGGAACAGCUUGGCCCUGGUGAGCUACAGAAGUUCCCCAGAACAACAGCCUGGAACCUCAAACAGAGGCAUGAGAAACCAGGUGGGAAAGUGAGGAAGCCCCACAAACUGCGGAUCUGCCAACUCUGUGGCCAGCCACAGCAGAAAGACUUUGGCCACAGCCAAUAUGGGGGAGAGCACUUCUGUGCUUUCUAUGAAGGGAAGACUGUGGAGCUGUGGCUGGCUGAGAAGAGUUUAAAAAGACAUUAAAAGUUUUUUUUUUUAAAUAUUUACUGUACUAUUAUCCAAGCACCUUAUAUGUUUCAUCUGUUCACUGCACCUUAUAUUUUUUAUUUUUAGUUUGCACUGCAAUUAUACUGGUUAUUUAUCCAUUUUUUAUAUUGCAUUCUAUGUUGAUUUUUUUGAUAUGUCUGUGUGUUGUUACUGUGUGUAAUGCUGCUGCUACAUUGCACUUUCCCAGCUUAUCUAUUAUACAUUUUGACCAUUCCUAAUAAAUAUUGAAUUGAUUAAAACCUUGUCAUGUCUAUUUAAAUACUUUUUAACUUGACUUUUUAAACCUGGAGCCAUUCAGGAGGCCAAAACGAUACAAAUAUUAAUGCACAUUUAAC